rnacentral:rRNA from 1 species
CACGUAGGGCGCAAGCGUUGUCCGGAAUUAUUGGGCGUAAAGAGCUCGUAGGCGGUCUGUUGCGUCCGCUGUGAAAACCCAGGGCUUAACCCUGGGCUGGCAGUGGAUACGGACAGACUAGAGGUAGGUAGGGGAGAAUGGAAUUCCCGGUGUAGCGGUGAAAUGCGCAGAUAUCGGGAGGAACACCGGUGGCGAAGGCGGUUCUCUGGGCCUUACCUGACGCUGAGGAGCGAAAGCGUGGGGAACGAACAGG